UACGAAGGUGGCUAGCGUUGCUCGGAAUGACUGGGCGUAAAGGGCGCGUAGGCGGUUUUGACAGUCAGACGUGAACUUCCUGGGCUCAACCUGGGGGCUGCGUUUGAUACGUCGGGACUGGAGUGCGGAAGAGGGUCGUGGAAUUCCCAGUGUAGAGGUGAAAUUCGUAGAUAUUGGGAAGAACACCGGUGGCGAAGGCGGCGACCUGGUCCGUGACUGACGCUGAGGCGCGAAAGCGUGGGGAGCAAACAUG
rnacentral:rRNA from 1 species